rnacentral:rRNA from 1 species
UUGGGAAUAUUGGACAAUGGGGGAAACCCUGCUCCAGCCAUGCCGCGUGAGUGAUGACGGCCUUAGGGUUGUAAAGCUCUUUCGCCGGUGAAGAUAAUGACGGUAACCGGUAAAGAAGCCCCGACUAACUUCGUGCCAGCAGCCGCGGUAAUACGAAGGGGGCUAGCGUUGUUCGGAAUUACUGGGCGUAAAGCGCACGUAGGCGGACCAUUAAGUCAGGGGUGAAAUCCCGGGCCUCAACCCCGGAAUUGCCUCUGAUACUGGUGGUCUUGAGUCCGAGAGAGGUGAGUGGAGCGCCGAGUGUAGAGGUGAAAUUCGUAGAUAUUCGGAAGAACACCAGUGGCGAAGGCGGCUCACUGGCUCGGUACUGACGCUGAGGUGCGAAAGCGUGGGGAGCAAACAGGAUUAGAUACCCCCGUAGUCC